rnacentral:misc_RNA from 1 species
GUGAAUCAUCAAAUUUUUGAACGCAUAUUGCACUCUCUGGUAUUCCGGAGAGUAUGCCUGUUUGAGGGCCAGUUAAAUAAAAAUCGGGGUUUUUGCCACCUUUGGUGGUGACGCUUCGGAAUUGGGACGUCUUUACCUUUCGGUUAAGUGUCUUAACAUUUUUGAUUGAUAUCUGACCGUAUUUAAAUUUAUUUGGUACGCCUUUGUAUUAUCGAAUGUUUAUUAUGUGUGGUCCUUCUCCUGACCCUCGUUUUUAAUUUUACAUCUAAUGACCUCUAA